rnacentral:lncRNA from 1 species
CCCCAAAAUACCUUAUCCAGGAGGAUCCUCUUGAUGGGACUGUCCAUAUCGGCAGACUGUGAUAUGGCCAUUCCUUGGAGAGACUCCUUCCCCUCCAGGAGACUGCCAACAUGAUGACAAACACCACCCCAAGGGGUUGCUGGGCAGCUUCAAUGUGGUUCUCUUUUAUUCUUCUCACAUACCUUUUGGUCCAAGAUCAUUGAUGACUGCCUUCAGCCAUCUGCAAUGUCAGUCUGGUGUGGUCUGUUGUCCCUGUGUUCUGGCUCUUGUAGAAUACUGGUUGAGGGGUGGAGAUGAUGUAGUUAAUUAUUCCUUGCCACGAACACUACAGGGACAUCUCCAUGGAUUUCAUAGAGGGGGACAUCUCCAUGGUUUUCACUACAGAAGGACAUCUCCAUGGUCUUCAUUACGAAGGACAUCUCCAUGGUCUUCAUUACGAGGGACAUCUCCAUGGUCUUUUCAUUAGAGGGGGACAUCUCCCAUGGUCUUCACUACAGAAGGACAUCUCCAUGGUCUUUUACACACUACAGAAGGACAUCUCCAUGGUCUUUUCACUACAGAAGGACAUCUCCAUGGUCUUCACUACAGAAGGACAUCUCCAUGGUCUUCAUUACAGAAGGACAUCUCCAUGUCUUCAUUAACAAAGGACAUCUCCAUGGUCUCAUUACAAAGGACAUCUCCAUGGUCUUCUUACAGAGGCUCUCAGGUCUUCAUUACAGAAGACAUCUCCAUGUUAUUUUCAUUAGAGGGGGACAUCUCCAUGGUCUUUUCAUACAGAAGGACAUCCCAUGGUCUCAUUACAGAAAGACAUCUCCAUGGCUUUCAUUACAGAGGGACAUCUCCAUGGUCUUUUUUCAUUAGAAGGACAUCCCAUGGUCUUUUCACUACGAAGAACAUAUCCAUGGAUUUUCAUACAGAGGGACAUCUCCAUGGUAUUUUCAUUAGAGGGGGACAUUCCAUGGUCUUUUCAUUACAGAAGGACAUCUCCGGGUCUUCAUUACAGAAGGACAUCUCAUGGUCUUCAUUACAGAGGGACAUCUCCAUGGUCUUUUCAUUAGAAGGGGACAUCUCCAUGGUCUUUUCAUUACAGAAGGACAUAUCCAUGGUAUUUUCAUUACAGAGGGACAUCUCUCCAUGGUCUUUUCACGCGAGGGACAUCUCCAUGGUCUUUUCAUUAACGAGGACAUCUCCAUGGUCUUCACUACAGAAGACAUCUCCAUGGUCUUUUUCAUUCAGAAGGACAUCUCCAUGGUCUUUCAUUACAGAAGGACAUCUCCAUGGCUUUUCAUUACAGAGGGACAUCGCCCAUGGUCUUUCAUUACAGAGGGACACUCCAUGGUCUUUUCAUUACAGAAGGACAUCCCAUGGAUAAACUGAAACAAUACAGUCAGAGAAGAGAACAAGGACAAUGAAGGGGGGAGAGGAAAAAGUCAACUUGCAGAGGGUAGUUUCUGUGAGUCGGGAUAUUGGUGUGGAGAAUGAUGAAUGGUGGUCAGUAUGGGAGAGAGUAUGUACGGGUGAGAGACAGACAGACAGGAGAGGUAAGAGCGAGAGAGCAGUGGUGUUGACAGAAGUGAGGUUGUGUAUUGUCUGUGCGUGGCCCAUGUGAGGUUGAGGUAGAGCGAUGUCCAAUCUCGUUGUUGAGCAACAUUUGGACUGGGUCAGGAAGCAGUGAAGGAGAGGAGAAGGAAACAGGGAGAAGAAGGAAACAAGCGAGAGAGACGCCCUUCUCCCCCAUUCUUCUUACAUAACCAUGUGCAUUCUCCCUCUUUCUCUCUCUCUCUCCCUGAAUGAUAAAUCAUCAACAAGUGGGCUCCGAGAGCGAUGUUCCCAGGGACUCAAGUAUGUGACCCUGGAAACUCAAGUUGGGGGAUUCUUAACUGAAGCAGAAAACAUUUCCUAUCGUGUAGUCAAGGGUAAUGAGCUCACGUUAACUGGCCUGCCAGCAUCUUAAUAUACCAGUGUUAUUCUAGGAAUAAUAAUCACAAAUAACAGCUUCAAGCCAAAGGACCAACAUCAAGGUCUAGAGGACAAGGUUUCCAACAAUCAGACACAAGGCUUACAAUCCUAGAGACAAGGUUUUUACAACCUAGAGAGGCAAGGUUUCUUACAAUCCUAGAGAGACAGGUUUCUUACAAUCUCUAGAGACAAUGUUCUUACAACCUAGAGACAAGGUUUCUUACAUUCAUAGAGAGACAAGUGUCUUACAAUCCUUCUAUUAAUGAGAGUGGCUUUUAGAAUGUGGCAUCUUACCAAGAUUCCAGCUGUCCACACAACAGAACUCUGAAAAUAACAGAGGAAAUAUCAGAGGAUGUGACUACUGACUUUUAAGUGGAAAUGUAUCUGUGUGUAUACAGAUCUCUACGUGUCUAUGUGUAUACAGUAUCUCUACGUGUCUGGUGUUGAGUGUAAUCUACCAGUGCAUUGAUCCCGGUUUAAUCUACCAGUGUCAUUGAUCCUGUGU